GUGAAGCAUGAAAACAGAGAAGAUCAGAACUCCCCUUGAUAAGAAUGGAAAAGGUUCCUGCAAUCAGCGCAAUGACACCUAUGGCUAGGGCACCAAACCCUCCCCAUACAGCUUGGAAAGAAAUACCAGAGCUCCAGACCAAUCCCUUCU
rnacentral:ncRNA from 1 species